CAGUUAUAUCACUUUGAAACACUGGUUCUCGUAUAAUCACCGAAGUUAAGCAAUGUUGAGAUUGGUCAGUACUUAGAUGGGCGACUGCUUGAGAAAAACAGCUGU